CCUACGGGAGGCAGCAGUGGGGAAUAUUGCACAAUGGGGGAAACCCUGAUGCAGCGACGCCGCGUGAGUGAAGAAGUAAUUCGUUAUGUAAAGCUCUAUCAGCAGGGAAGAAAAUGACGGUACCCGAGUAAGAAGCCCCGGCUAACUACGGGCCAGCAGCCGCGGUAAUACGUAGGGGGCAAGCGUUAUCCGGAUUUAAUGGGUGGAAAGGGAGCGUAGACGGCAGGGCAAGUCUGGAGUGAAAGGCGGGGGCUCAACCCCCGGACUGCUCUGGAAACUGUACGGCUGGAGUGCAGGAGAGGUAAGUGGAAUUCCUGGUGUAGCGGUGAAAUGCGUAGAUAGUAGGAGGAACACCAGUGGCGAAGGCGGCUUACUGGACUGUAACUGACGUUGAGGCUCGAAAGCGUGGGGAGCAAACAGGAUUAGAUACCCCUGUAGUC
rnacentral:rRNA from 1 species